CACACAAACAAUUCCAAAUUCCAAAUUCCAAAUUCGAAAUCUUACAUUUUCUCAAAUUUUCGUGAGAAUUGGAAUUCACUUUUCAACCAUCAUCCACAACACACUUAAGGGGCUAAGAAGUACCUACCAGCCGGUGAUGGUACCGUCGCACAUCCUCCAGUUAGUGGAUGUGGAUGGCAUCACAUCAGUGCACGUUUUGGAUGUAAGAAAUACCUAUAACUCCGUUUACUUAUUGACAACGCAUAAUGAGGGCUACAAUACACAAUUGACAGACACAUGAUAUCAUAAAGUUCAACGCCUAUUGAUAUUGAAAAGAGUUGAUGGAACCGCCCCACAACCUCCGCAUUGAGGCUGUGGGGAACUGGCGAUCGCAUCACUAUUCCCCUGAUAUUCGCAUCCAUAAAUAGCGUAAUGCAGCAAAUUCCAUUUCUUGACACCAUUCUUGAGACUAAUGUUACCAGUUCUGUUAAAUUUGUGAAUAAUCUCUAUUAAAUGCUUAGUUGAAAGUUGAAA